CUACGGGGUGCAGCAGUGAGGAAUAUUGCACAAUGGAGGAAACUCUGAUGCAGCAACGCCGCGUGGAGGAUGACGCAUUUCGGUGUGUAAACUCCUUUUAUAUGUCAAGAAAAUGACGGUAGCAUAUGAAUAAGCACCGGCUAACUCCGUGCCAGCAGCCGCGGUAAUACGGAGGGUGCAAGCGUUACUCGGAAUCACUGGGCGUAAAGGACGCGUAGGCGGGAUAUCAAGUCAGGUGUGAAAUCCUACAGCUUAACUGUAGAACUGCACUUGAAACUGGUAAGCUAGAGUAUGGGAGGGGGAGAUGGAAUUAGUGGUGUAGGGGUAAAAUCCGUAGAUAUCACUAGGAAUACCUAAAGCGAAGGCGAUCUCCUGGAACAUAACUGACGCUAAGGCGUGAAAGCGUGGGGAGCAAACAGGAUUAGAUACCCUAGUAGUC
rnacentral:rRNA from 1 species